AAACCAUGUUGUGGACAAUUCCUGAGCAACUCACGAAAUCUUUCCCAGGCAUCAUGAAUGGUCUCAUCUCCUAGCUAGGGAAAAGUGAGAAAUCUCCGCAAUGAUUUU